rnacentral:rRNA from 1 species
AUUAAACGCUGGCGGCAUGCCUUACACAUGCAAGUCGAACGGCAGCACGGGGGCAACCCUGGUGGCGAGUGGCGGACGGGUGAGUAAAGCAUCGGAACGUAUCCUGGAGUGGGGGAUAACGUAGCGAAAGUUACGCUAAUACCGCAUAUUCUGUGAGCAGGAAAGCAGGGGAUCGCAAGACCUUGCGCUCUGGGAGCGGCCGAUGUCGGAUUAGCUAGUUGGUGGGGUAAAGGCCUACCAAGGCGACGAUCCGUAGCGGGUCUGAGAGGAUGAUCCGCCACACUAGGACUGAGACACGGCCCAGACUCCUACGGGAGGCAGCAGUGGGGAAUUUUGGACAAUGGGCGCAAGCCUGAUCCAGCCAUGCCGCGUGAGUGAAGAAGGCC